rnacentral:rRNA from 1 species
AUUGAACGCUGGCGGCAGGCUUAACACAUGCAAGUCGAGCGAUCGGCGGACGGGUGAGUAAUGUCUGGGAAACUGCCUGAUGGAGGGGGAUACCUACUGGAACCGGUAGCUAAUACCGCAUACCAUCAGAUGUGCCCAGAUGUGAUUAGCUAGUAGGUGGGGUAAUGGCUCACCUAGGCGACGAUCCCUAGCUGGUCUGAGAGGAUGACCGGCAAACCGGGAACUGGGAAACGGUCCAGACUCCGACGGGAGGAAGCAGAGGGGAAUAUUGCACAAGGGGCGAAAGCCGGAUACAGCCAGGCCGCGUGUGGGAAGAAGGCCUUCGGGUUGUAAAGCACUUUCAGCGAGGAGGCGUUACUCGCAGAAGAAGCACCGGCUAACUCCGUGCCAGCAGCCGCGGUAAUUC